rnacentral:rRNA from 1 species
CCAGACUCCUACGGGAGGCAGCAGUGGGGAAUAUUGCACAAUGGGGGAAACCCUGAUGCAGUGACGCCGCGUGAGUGAAGAAGUAUUUCGGUAUGUAAAGCUCUAUCAGCAGGGAAGAUAAUGACGGUACCUGACUAAGAAGCCCCGGCUAACUACGUGCCAGCAGCCGCGGUAAUACGUAGGGGGCAAGCGUUAUCCGGAUUUACUGGGUGUAAAGGGUGCGUAGGUGGCAUGGCAAGUCAGAAGUGAAAGCCCGGGGCUCAACCCCGCGGACUGCUUUUGAAACUGUGUUGCUAGAUUGCAGGAGAGGUAAGUGGAAUUCCUAGUGUAGCGGUGAAAUGCGUAGAUAUUAGGAGGAACACCAGUGGCGAAGGCGGCUUACUGGACUGUAAAUGACGCUGAGGCUCGAAAGCGUGGGGAGCAAACAGGAUUAGAUACCCCAGUA